rnacentral:lncRNA from 1 species
CGCCGGGCGCCCCCGCUCUCCUCCCAGCCCUGCACCCCUCCCCCAGACGGCGCCCCGAGGCCCUCCUUGCACCCCACCCCCCAAAACUCCUACCCCUCGGCCCGGCGCUCCUGCGACGGUCUCCCCAGCCGGGGGAGCCUGGGUGUGAACCGAAAGCAGCAAAGCCGCGCCGCCUGAGUCCGCAGGCGAGGUCCUGGUCCCCACUCGCGGCCCGGGCGUGCGUCCGCCUGGGUGCCAGGCCGGGUAGGCGAACGCAGCGUCACCGCGAGGUGACGGCUCGCGGACCAAUCAGCGAGCGCCCUCGCCCACGAGAGCCAAUCGGAGCGCGUCCUGAGGGGCAGGGCGGGGCAGAUUUUGCCGGGUGGCGGAGGAGGAAGGCCACGCUGGAGGUCGCGCGGCUGGGUGAUCGCCCCCGUGAAGGAUGCCGUGGGCAGAAGUCCUCAGACUCGGGGAUGGGCGGACGGACUGGCGAGAGGCGACCCUUGGAUCGAAGAGGACAGUACUGAGACCAUCACUUGGUUGGGAGUCAAGAGGAGAUUGAGCCACUUUAUGGAUGUGGAAUGCCAAGUCUGAGACAGAUCUGAAUACGUCAUAGUUCAGCGAUGUGAGAUCUGAAUGAUACCCAGGAGCCAAGGUCCAAGAUACAAUUAAGAGUGAUGUGGCUGUUCCUGAGCAAAGGUUUCCUGAAGACUAAGAGGGUAUGUUACAAACCAGAACAAAGUCACUAGAUGUCAAAUCCACGUGUCAUGGAGCGGGGGUAGACUUUAGCAGCACUGUUUUCGUUGGAACCACUGUUACCAUGUGCUUCCCUGAGUAGCCAAGGCAAUGCUGUUCUAUUCUGUGGAAAGGUUAAGUUGGGAAUAAAGAGGUGGAGAAAGCUGGAAAUUAGAAUCCUCCCAGAUGUACUUUCCCCCAUUGAACUGUACCCCUCCCUGCCCCAUUGAAGUGAUUUAUCUGUAUGUAUACGCUACCUUCCUAGAAAAAGAAUACUAGGGUUUUCCCUUCUGUGUGUUUUCAUUUUUUUCUUCAUCCGUGGUACCAGUUGAGUCCAUCAGUACUGGAGGUCCCCUACAUAUGAAACAUCAAGCUGUGAACUUUCAAAGAGGCAUCAGGCAUGAAUGAAAUUACAGCUUGCCCUCCACCUCCUAUUGCUGAUAAUCCUUCAAUUUUACCAUCUCCUAUCUCCACUCCCUCCUCCAGUCAGAAACUCUUCUUGCUCAGUGCCAGGCCCUGAAUGCUAACUGUACUACUGUGUUUUUCAAGGUAUUGUCCCAUAAGAUUAAAAAUGUUUUUAUUUUUUGUGUUUGUUUUUAUGCAUUAUUAGUAUGAAAAGUACUAUAAAUCUGUUACAGUACAGUACUAUAUAGCUGACUGUGUUAGCUGGGUACUUAGGCUAAUUUGUUUGACUUAUAAACCAAUUAGACCUAUGAACGUGCUCUCGAAAUGGAACUUGUUUGUAUGCAGGGGACUUAGUGUACAAUGAUACCAAACAGACAGGAUAGAGCAGAUUAUUCUGCCAUAUUUCUAGAUCUUCGAGUUGCACACCAAAUCUAGGACUGAUCACUCCACAUUUGUUUAACCACCCGUAAGGUUCACAAUUUU